CAGCAGUGGGGAAUAUUGCGAAAUGGGCGAAAGCCUGACGCAGCAACGCCGCGUGAGGGACGAAGGCCUUCGGGUUGUAAACUUCUUUUAACCGGGAAGAACCUCCCGCAUGCAAAUAGUGUGCGGGACUGACGGUACCGGUAGAAUAAGCCACGGCUAACUCUGUGCCAGCAGCCGCGGUA
rnacentral:rRNA from 1 species